rnacentral:tRNA from 1 species
GGGUAUAGCUCAAACGGUAGAGUGUAUGCUUAGCAUGCACGAGGUCCUGGGUUCAAUCCCCAGUACUUCCU